AAAGGGAGCGUAGGCCGUGGAUUAAGCGUGUUGUGAAAUGUAGACGCUCAACGUCUGAAUUGCAGCGCGAACUGGUUCACUUGAGUAUGCACAACGUAGGCGGAAUUCGUCGUGUAGCGGUGAAAUGCUUAGAUAUGACGAAGAACUCCGAUUGCGAAGGCAGCUUACGGGAGCACAACUGACGCUGAAGCUCGAAGGUGCGGGUAUCAAACAGGAUUAGAUACCCUGGUAGUCCGCACAGUAAACGAUGGAUGCCCGUUGUUAGUUCACUUAAGAAUUAGCGACCAAGCGAAAGCAUUAAGCAUCCCACCUGGGGAGUACGCCGGCAACGGUGAAACUCAAAGGAAUUGACGGGGGCCCGCACAAGCGGAGGAACAUGUGGUUUAAUUCGAUGAUACGCGAGGAACCUUACCCGGGCUUGAAUUGCAGACGAACGAUUCAGAGAUGAAGAGGCCCUUCGGGGCGUCUGUGAAGGUGCUGCAUGGUUGUCGUCAGCUCGUGUCGUGAG
rnacentral:rRNA from 1 species